rnacentral:lncRNA from 1 species
UUUCUCUUCUCCUUUCGAACAACGUGGUUGCCCUUCUCAAGUUCUCAUGUGUAAUCGACUAAUCAAACUCGUCACGCUCUUGAUUGUGGAAAUCAAUGAUUUGGCCCUUUUUACUUCCACUCGUGCAUACGCUGAUUAUGGUAUGACCACAAGCGGUUGUUCUUUCGACGAAGACGUCUCUCAAGUUCUAGAUUUAAACUUCCAGUUUACUGGGAAUCGUGGAAGGAUUUGUGUGUACUCUUUGUGAACACCAGGACCAAGUAUGCAAUGGAUUCAAGAAAAUUGCUGCCGAAGUGAAUCUGAAAAUGUGAACUUCUCCUCUGCAACGGCCAGUUGUGAUGUGGCCCUGCAGUAUUUUAUUUGACCAACGACAAGAAAGUGCGCGUUUUCAACACGACGGAUCACCAGGGACCGAAAUUGGCCGCCUUUUUCGAAGAAGUCGCAUGUUUGACGAAAUGAAAUGUCAGAAGAAAUGGCGCGGCCAGCCGUUCCUCUUUUGGUGUCGUCGUACCGCCUUAGGAAUCCCAACUCAACCGUCGUCAAGGCUUCACACUGCGUGAAUUUCGUCGACACUGUUCAUGAGUCAACAUGUAUCGUUUUCUCUUAGAUUAAUGAAAAGCAAUUCCAAAUCUCACACGGCAACCAUUACCAGCCCCCUUCAAAGAAAGGAUUCACCGUCAACCUCCUGUCACUCAAAUUUAUCCUAGAUAUCCUGAUUCAGGCACCUUUAAAAUAUGGAACUUCGCUUUAGGUCUUAAGCCACGUCAACCUAUCACUUGGAGUUGGAUCCUAUAGUGCAGGUUGCAUGGAAUUCUCGUUUACCUUUGCUGUGAACAUAAGUAACAUCUGCACUAAUUGAAGUCCAUUUAGGUGACUAUCUUAUUAAGUUUAUUCAAAAAUUAAAUGCGUUGAGUUGGAAGUUAAACCAGAAGUUUUCCGUUCCGUCCAAUCUUCCGGGUGCCUAAGGAAUAUGUUGGAUAUCACUAGGUGGCUAAAAUUAUGUCUGCUAGAUGGCGUGAGUGUCUUCGUUACUCAAGACGAAAUUCUGCCAUUUCUUAAAACACUGAUUGGAAACCACAUGUUGAAAACGUAUCGUUGGAUUGGAUACUUAAUACGGCGUACUUUUCUUUCUUGACAUUUCUAUUCGUAAUAAUGGUAUUUAUCUGGUAACAGCCUAUAAUUUCUACAUGACAAUUUCAUCUGAUCAUGUGGCCUUAGUAGCUGAACAUUUUGCCAAAAUGUCGUCUCUUUUUCCUGUACCAGCUUCACGUUUGUCGGAUACAAUUCAGAACAAUUCGGGAUUAACACCCUGGUGGAGUUUGAGCUUCUUUGUUGCUGCCCAACUUUCACAUGGAUUUGAUGCAGCCAGCUGAGGGCUUUAACUCUGGUUUAGCGUCUAUAUUGGUGUAGUUGCUGUCCGAUGUGGCACGUUGUUGCAGCCUAUACUGGUGAAAGAUCUUUCGACAUCAAGCUCAAUUGGCCGUUCCUUGGUGCUGAAUUGCUGAUGCUGUGUUGCCGAAGUUGCAUCAUAUUUUGUUAAAUUGUCAUCGUGACUAUUGCAGUUUACCGUUUAUAAGUUCAGAAGCAACAAAAACAAAUGUGGGAUGUUUAUGUCAACAAAUAAUAAACGUGUUUCCAGGAUUGGGAAAGGAAAGUGGAGGAUGUUGGAGGGGGGAGGGAGGAUAUUUUAAGUUUUUAUAAAAAUUCAGUUAAUCUAUAACCCUACAAACGUACCCCUACCAAUUAAUAAUCUCCAAACCCCACAAACAUAUACCCUCCAUUCCUUCAAACCCCACAAACAUACACCUACUAAAUCUUAAAUUUAUAUCCUUAACCCUC